CCCUUAGAUGUUCUGGGCCGCACGCGCGCUACACUGAUGCAUUCAACGAGUUUCUUCCUGGUCCGAGAGGAAUGGGUAACCUUUUGAAAGUGCAUCGUGAUAGGGAUAGACUAUUGCAAUUAUUGGUCUUCAACGAGGAAUUCCUAGUAGACGUAGUUCAUCAGACUGCAUCGAUUACGUCCCUGCCCUUUGUACACACCGCCCGUCGCUCCUACCGAUUGAAUGGUCCGGUGAAAUCUCGGGACGGCGGCUUGGUCGCUUGCGUCCGACUGCUGAAACUUGAUUAAACCAUAUCAUUUAGAGGAAGGUGAAGUCGUAACA
rnacentral:rRNA from 1 species